UACGUAGGGCGCAAGCGUUGUCCGGAAUUAUUGGGCGUAAAGAGCUCGUAGGUGGCUUGUCGCGUCUGCCGUGAAAGCCCAUGGCUUAACUGUGGGUCUGCGGUGGAUACGGGCAGGCUAGAGGCUGGUAGGGGCAAGCGGAAUUCCUGGUGUAGCGGUGAAAUGCGCAGAUAUCAGGAGGAACACCGAUGGCGAAGGCAGCUUACUGGGCCGAUACUGACGCUGAGGAGCGAAAGCGUGGGGAGCGAACAGG
rnacentral:rRNA from 1 species